rnacentral:lncRNA from 1 species
GAGGAAAAACAUACUCCUGAAUUUGAAAAAACAACCUAUGAUUCACCCUGGAGUGACUCUGCGAGAGGGCCAGGCAAAGGUCCACUCCCCGACCCGUGCUGGGAGGGCAAGCCGAGAGCUGCCCAUGUCGCAGGAUGAGAUCCCAGCUCCUAUUCUGACUUAUCGAACAUAUCCAGCUCCUCGGGUUUCUCAGAGCUCUCCUGCCAACUGCAGCAACCACAGGCGGAUCCCGCCUUGAGCACAGCCCAGAUGUGGAAGCGCGAAUCUCCAUGACCAAGGGUAAGUGAAAACGAGGAAAACAACACUGAGGAUGGGAGGGGACUACUGUACCGUGACUUGCUGCUAAGCUGGAGUAAUAAAGAUAGUGUUCAUUGGAACAAAGACCGACAAAUGGACCAAGUGAACAGAACAGAGAACCUAGAACAACAUCCAUGUAUAUGUGGAAGCUUGAUUUAUGACCAAGUGGACAUUUCAGAUAGCGGAUAAAGCCUGGGCCACUUAAUAAACGGUACUGAGACAACUGGUUAAUUAGACAGAAAUGAGUGAAAUUGCAUCCCUGCCUCCCAGCAUACACCAAAAACUCCAUUGUGGGACUGAAAUGUGAAAGAUAAAACUGUAAAAUCUUUAAAAGGCAACGUAUAGAAAUAUUUUUAUAUGCUCAGGGACAGGGAGAACUUCUGAAUCAAGAACAAAAAGCUCAAAUGAUAAAGGAAACAACUGAUAAAUUCAACUACAUUUUAUUUUUUGAGGAAGAUUAGCCCUGAACUAACAUCUGCUGCCAAUCCUCUUUUUGCUGAGGAAGACUGGCCCUGAGCUAACAUCCAUGCCCACCUUCCUCUACUUUAUAUGUGGGACGCCUACCACAGCAUGGCUUGCCAAGCGGUGCCAUGUCUGCACCCGGGAUCCGAACCAGCGAACCCUGGGCUGCCGAAGCGGAACGUGCGCACUUAACCACUGAGCCACUGGGCCGGCCCCUCAACUACAUUUUAAAAGGAGAGAGUAAAAAGGCA